UACGGAGGGGGCUAGCGUUGUUCGGAAUUACUGGGCGUAAAGCGCACGUAGGCGGCUUUGUAAGUUAGAGGUGAAAGCCCGGAGCUCAACUCCGGAACUGCCUUUGAUACUGGCGAUCUCGAGUCCGGGAGAGGUGAGUGGAACUGCGAGUGUAGAGGUGAAAUUCGUAGAUAUUCGCAAGAACACCAGUGGCGAAGGCGGCUCACUGGCCCGGUACUGACGCUGAGGAGCGAAAGCGUGGGUAGCAAACAGG
rnacentral:rRNA from 1 species